UACGGAGGAUCCGAGCGUUAUCCGGAUUUAUUGGGUUUAAAGGGUGCGCAGGCGGGAGAUUAAGUCGGCGGUGAAAUUUUGCAGCUUAACUGUAAAAGUGCCAUCGAUACUGGUUUCCUUGAGUGUAGAUGAAGUAGGCGGAAUUUGUGGUGUAGCGGUGAAAUGCAUAGAUAUCACGAGGAACUCCGAUUGCGCAGGCAGCUUACUAAACUACUACUGACGCUCAGGCACGAAGGCGUGGGGAUCAAACAGGAUUAGAUACU
rnacentral:rRNA from 1 species